rnacentral:rRNA from 1 species
AAAUUGAAGAGUUUGAUCAUGGCUCAGAUUGAACGCUGGCGGCAGGCCUAACACAUGCAAGUCGAACGGUAACAGGAAGCAGCUUGCUGCUUUGCUGACGAGUGGCGGACGGGUGAGUAAUGUCUGGGAAACUGCCCGAUGGAGGGGGAUAACUACUGGAAACGGUAGCUAAUACCGCAUAACGUCGCAAGACCAAAGAGGGGGACCUUAGGGCCUCUUGCCAUCGGAUGUGCCCAGAUGGGAUUAGCUAGUAGGUGGGGUAACGGCUCACCUAGGCGACGAUCCCUAGCUGGUCUGAGAGGAUGACCAGCCACACUGGAACUGAGACACGGUCCAGACUCCUACGGGAGGCAGCAGUGGGGAAUAUUGCACAAUGGGCGCAAGCCUGAUGCAGCCAUGCCGCGUGUAUGAAGAAGGCCUUCGGGUUGUAAAGUACUUUCAGCGGGGAGGAAGGGAGUAAAGUUAAUACCUUUGCUCAUUGACGUUACCCGCAGAAGAAGCACCGGCUAACUCCGUGCCAGCAGCCGCGGUAAUACGGAGGGUGCAAGCGUUAAUCGGAAUUACUGGGCGUAAAGCGCACGCAGGCGGUUUGUUAAGUCAGAUGUGAAAUCCCCAGGCUCAACCUGGGAACUGCAUCUGAUACUGGCAAGCUUGAGUCUCGUAGAGGGGGGUAGAAUUCCAGGUGUAGCGGUGAAAUGCGUAGAGAUCUGGAGGAAUACCGGUGGCGAAGGCGGCCCCUGGACGAAGACUGACGCUCAGGUGCGAAAGCGUGGGGAGCAAACAGGAUUAGAUACCCUGGUAGUCCACGCCGUAAACGAUGUCGACUUGGAGGUUGUGCCCUUGAGGCGUGGCUUCCGGAGCUAACGCGUUAAGUCGACCGCCUGGGGAGUACGGCCGCAAGGUUAAAACUCAAAUGAAUUGACGGGGGCCCGCACAAGCGGUGGAGCAUGUGGUUUAAUUCGAUGCAACGCGAAGAACCUUACCUGGUCUUGACAUCCACGGAAGUUUUCAGAGAUGAGAAUGUGCCUUCGGGAACCGUGAGACAGGUGCUGCAUGGCUGUCGUCAGCUCGUGUUGUGAAAUGUUGGGUUAAGUCCCGCAACGAGCGCAACCCUUAUCCUUUGUUGCCAGCGGUCCGGCCGGGAACUCAAAGGAGACUGCCAGUGAUAAACUGGAGGAAGGUGGGGAUGACGUCAAGUCAUCAUGGCCCUUACGACCAGGGCUACACACGUGCUACAAUGGCGCAUACAAAGAGAAGCGACCUCGCGAGAGCAAGCGGACCUCAUAAAGUGCGUCGUAGUCCGGAUUGGAGUCUGCAACUCGACUCCAUGAAGUCGGAAUCGCUAGUAAUCGUGGAUCAGAAUGCCACGGUGAAUACGUUCCCGGGCCUUGUACACACCGCCCGUCACACCAUGGGAGUGGGUUGCAAAAGAAGUAGGUAGCUUAACCUUCGGGAGGGCGCUUACCACUUUGUGAUUCAUGACUGGGGUGAAGUCGUAACAAGGUAACCGUAGGGGAACCUGCGGUUGGAUCACCUCCUUA